rnacentral:rRNA from 1 species
UACAGAGGUCCCGAGCGUUGUUCGGAUUCAUUGGGCGUAAAGGGUGCGUAGGCGGUUUGGUAAGUCUUGUGUGAAAUCUCCAGGCUCAACUUGGAGUCUGCACGAGAAACUGCCGGGCUUGAGUGUGGGAGAGGUGAGUGGAAUUCCUGGUGUAGCGGUGAAAUGCGUAGAUAUCAGGAGGAACACCUGUGGCGAAAGCGGCUCACUGGACCACAACUGACGCUGAUGCACGAAAGCUAGGGGAGCAAACAGG